rnacentral:rRNA from 1 species
CUAAACUGAGGAAAGUCGACCGAUACUGAUCGGCUAGAGGGACGUAGAGGUAAGCGGAACUCUCGGAGUAGCGGUGAAAUGCGUAGAGACCGAGAGGUACCCCGAUGGUGAAGACAGCUUACUGGGCGUCUCCUGACGCUGAAGCGCUAAGGCCAGGGGAGCGAAGGGGAUUAGAUACCCCCGUAGUCCUGGCUUCAAACGAUGUGGGCUUGGUGUCGGCUCCCGAUAGAGAGUCGUUGCCGGAGCUAACGUGUUAAGCCCACCGCCUGGGGAUUACGUCCGCAAGGAUGAAACUCAAGGGAAUUGACGGGGGCCCACACAACCGGUGGAGCACGUGGUUUAAUUCGAUGAUAAGCGAAGAACCUUACCAGGGCUUGACCUAGCGGUAGUAGAACCCUGAAAGGGGAACGAACCGAAGCUUUGCUUCGGGAGCC